CUCCUCUCAGAACCAAGAACAUCAUACAACUUGUAAAUCUAUCUGAUCUGCCCUGAGAAACAAUUAUCCCCUUCCUUCUUUUGGCUGGGGCUAAUAGUAGAUGUUAGUGUUAAAUGUACGCUAACAGAUGAAAUUAAAAUGAAGAUUGAGUCAAUUGUUUGGGACAAGGGAAAAAGAAGUGAAGCUCUGCAAGUUGAUUAACAGAUUCCAGGGAACUGCGUGCAAUCAAUGAAGCAAAAUAGCAGCUGUGAUAGAAACGUGGUAUUUUAGGGUUGCUCAAUGUUAAAUGCAAGAGUGACAGCCACAUUGCUGCUGAGGAUGACUCAUAUCUGCUCUUCUAUCAGAUGCUCUCCCUAAUGCUGAUGAGAGCCACAAGAUGCUUAUGCCAUAAAUCCACAGAGGGAAUGAAUGCUAUCUGCAAAAUCAGAGAUGAGAUGAGAAGGUGCAAGAUGAAAAUGCUCAUUCACAGAAUUUGGCCUGCUGUUCUUCAUUAACUUCACAUAGAAACACCUCUUCUCAGCCUAUCUGUGCUUACCUGGAGCUGAUUAUCAAAUCAGAACCGGAACCUACACAGCAUGUGGUGUAACACAUCAUAACAGCUAUAAAUUAUCAACAAAACUGAUGUUGAACCACGAAGAACAGUGAAUGUGGACCUACUUUAAAAAUGGAUGUCCACGUCAUUUAUAAGUUGAGGACAAGUUCACUUGAAAGCAGUUAUCUCCAUCGGUGCACCAGUUCUUGUCUCUUGUUCUUAUCUGUUUCUUUUUCUUUUGAAAGAAGCACUCCAUGGAUUUGUGGGAAUACUAGCAGUAAAAUCUUGCUAAUCUUUUGUUGACUUUGAAGUUCAUGUGGGAAUCCAGGAUUACACCAUCUCCCCAAAAAUGAUACUUCUGAAGAUACAAGGAAAUGAUAUAGAUUUUAGGUUUUGGCUCUUGCUCAAUUAAAAAAAUGGAAAACUCUACAAACUGUUCUUUUGCAACAAAUCUGUUUUCGCUGUCAAAAUACAAGAGCAAAAACAUUCUUGCCCUGAGGAGAACACAUGACAAUAUGGGAACUUCCAUCCAAAAUUACCCCAUUUAUACACCGCGGAGCUGUAAUCCUGAUGUGUAAGUGCUGAUAUUCAGAAAUACUACUCCUUCAUGUAUUCAAGAGUAAAACUGUGCACUCCCACAGCUUGCUUCUCUCUUUCUUUCCCUUCCCACCCUUCUCACAGCAUGAAAGCAACUCUGGAGAGCGCAUCACUGUCAAGUUCUAAGAGCAACCUCAAACAAGAGGCCAAAACAUAUUGUCACAUCUGCUAUAUCUUUUUUAAAAAAAAUUAUUUAAACAGUAACUCGUGGCAUAUUUGUCUCUCCUCAGAGAUUCUUGUACUUUUUAUAACAUAUUGCUCAGUCAAGUCAUAACUUUUGUGUUUAAAGAUGACAGAACACUCAUCUUGUCCACUUGAUAGAUGAAAAGCAAUGUGUUACUUUUCUAACAAACUUCCCUUUAUGUGUUUGAACUCACCUUCAGUUAAAUGAUAUUAAGUCUGGUAAAAGAGAGAAGCAAAUGCUAUUAGUUGAUCACUUAACUUGUAAUAAAGAGAAAAAUUAUUGCCUUGCAAACAAUAAUUCUCCACUUUUCUGUACUGAAGAGAUACUGCUCUGUGAAGAAUCAUUCUUGUCUAAAUAAAAUGACCUUUAUUGAUUUAAUUUAAAACUCUUUAUUGUCUCAGCUAAAGUGGAUCGAAUGGAACUGUUACAGCUCAGAGUUUAUCACAUCAUCAGAGCAUUAAUUUCCUAGCUGACUGCAUCUUGGUAUUACAAUAAAAAAUUAGUUUCAGAAGUUUUAUGAAGAAUGAACUUUAGUAGGACCAUUGAGAAAAGGCUUUCUUCCAUCACAGAAUCUCUAAAUGUAUACACCAUUUUUUCCAAAGAAGAAUACAUCUCUAAAAGUUGCAACCGUGGUACAUGUCUAACCACUGACAUCUGUGUUAGCUAUUAAAUGAGAAUACUUUUCCUUUAGUAGAACAUCUUGAGCUGUUGUAAAUCCGAUGCAGAUAAAAUUCCCAAGAAACUGGACUACAACAUCUGUGCUCUCCUGUGGAUUAUGAUUUAUAUAAUAUUUUGGAAGGCACAUGCAGAGAGACACAGAAUUCUUUUGUAUAUUUCAUUGUUUUGUUUUGUCUAUUGUUGUCUCUGAUUUUCUCAGUAGUGUUUGUAAGAUAAAGCAAAUCUUAGUGUAGGUAAGUAGUGUUCACUGCUGCUCUCUGAUGGUAAGCUUGACUGUUGAUUGGUGAAAAUAAACUUUAAGCUAUGCAUCCA
rnacentral:lncRNA from 1 species